rnacentral:rRNA from 1 species
CCUACGGGUGGCAGCAGUGGGGAAUAUUGGGCAAUGGGCGCAAGCCUGACCCAGCAACGCCGCGUGAAGGAAGAAGGCUUUCGGGUUGUAAACUUCUUUUAAGAGGGAAGAGCAGAAGACGGUACCUCUUGAAUAAGCCACGGCUAACUACGUGCCAGCAGCCGAGGUAAUACGUAGGUGGCAAGCGUUGUCCGGAUUUAGUGGGUGUAAAGGGCGUGCAGCCGGGAAGACAAGUCAGAUGUGAAAUCCCGGGGCUCAACCGCGGAACUGCAUUUGAAACUGCUUUUCUUGAGUACCGGAGAGGUCAUCGGAAUUCCUUGUGUAGCGGUGAAAUGCGUAGAUAUAAGGAAGAACACCAGUGGCGAAGGCGGAUGACUGGACGGAAACUGACGGUGAGGCGCGAAAGCGUGGGGAGCAAACAGGAUUAGAUACCCGAGUAGUC